GAUGAACGCUGGCGGCGUGCCUAAUACAUGCAAGUCGAGCGAACGGACGAGAAGCUUGCUUUUCUGAUGUUAGCGGCGGACGGGUGAGUAACACGUGGAUAACCUACCUAUAAGACUGGGAUAACUUCGGGAAACCGGAGCUAAUACCGGAUAAUAUUUUGAACCGCAUGGUUCAAAAGUGAAAGACGGUCUUGCUGUCACUUAUAGAUGGAUCCGCGCUGCAUUAGCUAGUUGGUAAGGUAACGGCUUACCAAGGCAACGAUGCAUAGCCGACCUGAGAGGGUGAUCGGCCACACUGGAACUGAGACACGGUCCAGGCUCCUACGGGAGGCAGCAGUAGGGAAUCUUCCGCAAUGGGCGAAAGCCUGACGGAGCAACGCCGCGUGAGUGAUGAAGGUCUUCGGAUCGUAAAACGCUGUUAUUAGGGAAGAACAUAUGUGUAAGUAACUGUGCACAUCUUGACGGUACCGAAGCAGAAAGCCACGGCUAACUACGU
rnacentral:rRNA from 1 species